rnacentral:rRNA from 1 species
GCAGCCAUGCCGCGUGUGUGAAGAAGGCCUUAGGGUUGUAAAGCACUUUCAGCGAGGAGGAAGGGUUCGGGGUUAAUAGCCCUGAGCAUUGACGUUACUCGCAGAAGAAGCACCGGCUAACUCCGUGCCAGCAGCCGCGGUAAUACGGAGGGUGCAAGCGUUAAUCGGAAUUACUGGGCGUAAAGCGCACGCAGGCGGUUUGUUAAGUCAGAUGUGAAAUCCCCGAGCUUAACUUGGGAACUGCAUUUGAAACUGGCAAGCUAGARUYUUGUAGAGGGGGGUAGAAUUYCAGGUGUAGCGGUGAAAWGSGUAGAGAUYUGGAGGAAUWCCGGUGGCGAAGGCGGCCCCCUGGACAAAGRMUGACGSUCAGGUKCGAAAGCGUGGGGAGCAAACAGGAUUAGAUWCCCUGGUAGUYCMCGCYGUAAAMGAUGUYGACUUGGAGGUUGUKCCCYUGAGGMGUGGCUUCCGGAGCUAAAGCGUUAAGUUGGCCGCCUGGGGAGUUCGGCCGCAAGGUUAAAAAUCAAAUGAAUUGACGGGGGCCCGCACAAGCGGUGGAGCAUGUGGUUUAAUUUGAUGCAACGCGAAGAACCUUACCUACUUUUGACAUCCAGAGAAUUUGCUAGAGAUAGCUUAGUGCCUUUGGGAACUUUGAGACCGGUGCUGCAUGGCUGUUGUCAGCUUGUGUUGUGAAAUGUUGGGUUAAGUCCCGCAACGAGCGCAACCCUUAUCCUUUGUUGCCAGCGAGUAAUGUCGGGAACUCAAAGGAGACUGCCGGUGAUAAACCGGAGGA